rnacentral:rRNA from 1 species
AAAAGCCGAUCGCAGUCCGGAUUGGAGUCUGCAACUCGACUCCAUGAAGUCGGAAUCGCUAGUAAUCGCGGAUCAGAAUGCCGCGGUGAAUACGUUCCCGGGCCUUGUACACACCGCCCGUCACACCAUGGGAGUUUGU